rnacentral:rRNA from 1 species
ACAUCCAGCGAACUUGGCAGAGAUGCCUUGGUGCCUUCGGGAACGCUGAGACAGGUGCUGCAUGGCUGUCGUCAGCUCGUGUGUGAAAUGUUGGUUAAGUCCCGNAACGAGCGCAACCCUUAUCCUUUGUUGCCAGCGAUUCGGUCGGGAACUCAAAGGAGACUGCCGGUGAUAAACCGGAGGAAGGUGGGGAUGACGUCAAGUCAUCAUGGCCCUUACGAGUAGGGCUACACACGUGCUACAAUGGCGCAUACAAAGAGAAGCGACCUCGCGAGAGCAAGCGGACCUCAUAAAGUGCGUCGUAGUCCGGAUCGGAGUCUGCAACUCGACUCCGUGAAGUCGGAAUCGCUAGUAAUCGUGGAUCAGAAUGCCACGGUGAAUACGUUCCCGGGCCUUGUACACACCGCCCGUCACACCAUGGGAGUGGGUUGCAAAAGAAGUAGGUAGCUUAACCUUCGGGAGGGCGCUUACCACUUUGUGAUUCAUGACUGGGGUGAAGUCGUAACAAGGUAGGCGUAGCGAG